AUGACGGGCCGCCGGAGGGAGCUGGACCAGCCCAGCCAGGUCGGCAGCAGCUUUGAGCUGGACCAGCCCAGCCAGGUCGGCAGCAGCUACGGGGCAGCGGUGCUCUGCGCGGUGGCCGGCUGUGACCACCGUGCGUGCCACGCAGGCCCCUUCCAGGUGGCCUACAUCGGUAUUGAUGCGAUUGAAGAAGAUGGCGGAUGUUUUGUGAGCGCAUGCGUGUCCUUGCCGAUGACGGCUGAUUGGAGCAAGCCGUGCUCUCAUUCUCGUCUUGAUAAGUGGGGCGAGCCGUGCUCUGCUCUUCAUGUUGGUGGGUACACUCCAUCCUGGGACGAAAUGGCACCUGUCUUUGUCGAAGGCGCACUUUACGUCAAUCUCGUGUACUAUCAGGAAGAUUAUCACAUUGUAAUUCUCAAGUAUGACCUGGUAUCUAACUGCUUAUCGCUGAUUGAUCCACCGUUGGCUGGGCCUUUCAAUCUCAAUGCCGCUAGCCUCAUGGCGAUGGAUGAUAACAGUUUGGGGUUUGCACAUGUGGAUAAGGUAACCCUCCAAUUGUGGUCAAGGCAGACGGGUUCCGACGGCAUUGCCUCAUGGACUCAGCGUUCUGUCAUCAAUCUUAAUAACCAUCUCCCCAUUCAAAAUCCCAAUGAAAGACUUAGACUGAUUGGAUCUGUGGAGGGCAGUGAUACCAUUUUCGUGACCAUGGGCCUUGACAUCUACGAGCUUAAUCUCAAGACAUUUCGGUGGAAGAAGCUGCAGAAGAGAGAAAAGCUUCUUGGUUUGAUUCCAUACAUGAGUUUCUACCAUCCACAAGAAAGAGUGAUCCCCGGUGAUGCGGCGCAAUGA
rnacentral:rRNA from 1 species